rnacentral:lncRNA from 1 species
ACACAGCAGUUUGGUCAAGUAGACUCAAGUCAAGUUGACUUAUAAAGCGCUUGGAACUUUUUUGUUUUAAAUAAAAGCUGUAACAAAGAGAUCCUGUUGAAGGAAGGCAAAAAUCAAAAAAUUUCAAUGGAGAUUUCCUUUUUGCGGUUGACUUUUAAGGGUCAGAUCACGGGAUCAGUCAGUGUAGGGAAAGCCAAUUCUUCUUCUUGGCACUUCAGUAGCAACUGUCUAAAAGCUGACCAUUUGUUAGGCCACACCGGCUGUUUCAGCGAUUGACAGCUGUUUUAUUUGUUUCUGUAUAUUCCAGCCUGUACGGCAUUCCUCUCGGUAAACCAAAAAUGAGAUUCAAGAUUCAUUAUUCCUUUACGUGUAUUUUGUGCAAAUAGACUAAAUUUUCCCUGAGGGUUAUACUUCUAGUAUACCGAAGGCUCUUAAGUUUCUGAUCAUGUCAUGUAUCGUAUCGUAUCGUAGUAAUCGAUACCUUCUUGGAGUUGGGCUCCAAAAGGUUUAUUGUCAGUUUGGUCUUUUGCUAUCUUCUUUUUUUCUACUUGACCGAUUUAUUCCAAAUUUCGGUAACCUUCUUAACUUAAUUUCUUUGAGUAUUACUGGAUAUUUUCGUUCGUAUCUGUUUAAGUUUUUUUUAUUUAUUUUUUUCCGUAAUCCCCAUGUGUAGCUUUUCUAGUCUUAGGGCAACUGCAUGUUUGUGAGCCUUUGCAUGUGAACGCCCGUAUCCAUUUUCCACUACAGGCACUACUUCUUUCCGCAAUUUUCAUUCCCUUUACUUUUGUCAAGCGUGGUCGAAAGACUCGUAGCCAUUGCAUCCUAGGAUACGUCAUGUUUUCUGUUUGUUUUAAAUUUGUAUCAGUGCACAAAAAACUUGGUGCAUAAUCGUGACGUGUUGCAGCCAAACUCUCUGAAAAAUGGAUUCAACAAAUUAUGGAGGAUACAUUUUACUCCAUAUUAUAGUCGUUGGUCUAUCAAAAGAUCAUCCACUGACAGCUCCUGAUGCCUUGGAAUUGGCUUAUAAAUUUCAAGACGGUGCAAAACAAUGAAGCAUCUAUGGUUCUUUGUGCUAACUUCGUCUCACUCAUUGUCUUGGGAAUAUUGUCCUGCCACAAGGUUGCAUUCCUCUAAAUCUGGCUAUUAGCACUUUGGCUUCAUUGAAAGAGCUUGCACGAUAGAAUCUUUUUUCCUGGUCACCUCAUUCAAGUUGUUUUUUCAGCAGAACUAAACUUUAAGCAAAUGGAGCUUUAUCACGCUAUACCCAUGUUCUUCUAUUUGCUGGCUUCUUGUCACCGUAGGGGUUCCUCCUUAAUAUCAACUUUGAAAUUUGAUAAGUAUUGGGAUUGUAACAUUGGCCACUUUUACCAUUAUUUGGUAUCUAUUUUUACAAUUUCAUAAUGGGCUUUUGCAACAAGUUCUCUCCAGAGUCUUUCCUUUCAACCGCGGAAUUUUUGAAGAUUAUGUUGCCAACUUCUGGUGCACAUUAAAUGUUUUGGUCAAAAUCCGACGAAUAAUGGAACCCACCGCUAUCGCUAGAUAUUGUUUACUGCUAACAGCUCUUUUCAGUUUCCCUUGUGGACUUCAUCUAUAUUUUAAGAACAGUUCGCGUAAUUUGCAUAUCUCUUUGAUCAACGUGUCUCUUGCAUUUUUCCUAUUCUCCUAUCACGUCCUUGAGAAAUCAAUCCUUUUAGUAACGUUGCCUGCUUCCAUAGCUAGUCCUUAUUUCUCAUUCACUGCCUUCUGGUUUCUCUCCAUUUCCCAUUUCUCUAUGUUACCACAGUACGCCAAAGAUGAUUUGAUUAUCCCUGAUGUGGUUGACUUGCUCUCUAUUGUUUGCUGGCUCAUAGCAGCUUGAUAUUAGAUUUGCCUCAAUCUAUGGAGUUAAAAUGUCUAGCUGGUAUUUCGGCGAUUGGAAGUGCCGUUUUGGCUGUUAUGUUUCUCACAUGAUAUGGUUGAAAGAUAUUGAUACAAACCUUUUCAUUA